rnacentral:tRNA from 1 species
CGCGAAGUAGAGCAGCGGUAGCUCGUCGGGCUCAUAACCCGAAGGUCAGAGGUUCGAACCCUCUCUUCGCAA